GACGCCGAAGGUGGGGCUAAUGACUGGGGUGAAGUCGUAACAAGGUAGCCGUACCGGAAGGUGCGGCUGGAUCACCUCCUAACAGGGAGACAACAAAAUGUUUAAUAUUAUUAUUUUGUCACCUUAGGUCGAUCGGUAUCUCACGUUUUUAAUUUAUUAAAAAUUUCAUUUCCUAAGUUUUUCUAGGUCACACCCAUUAUUUUUUCCUGGGCCAUUAGCUCAGGUGGUUAGAGCGCACCCCUGAUAAGGGUGAGGUCCCUGGUUCAAGUCCAGGAUGGCCCAUAUCUCUAUGUUGGGGGUAUAGCUCAGUUGGUAGAGCGCCUGCUUUGCAAGCAGGAUGUCAGCGGUUCGAGUCCGCUUACCUCCACUGAUUACCACCUCUUCCAUAACCGGUAGAAAGGAAAUGUUUUGAGUUGUGAUCAACUUCUGAAAGAAUCUAGCUUCCUAAUGAAAUCAUUAAGAUGCUGGACUCAUUGAAUUAAUUUCAUUGUUUUCAGAGAACCUUGACAACUGCAUAGAUUAUUUUUAAAGACAAUAAGCAUCUUUAAUGAUGCAGAUUUAUUAUUUGUGCGAAUGCAUUAAUAACAAUUCUAUUAAGCUGAUGCUUCAAUUUUUGAAGUUAUUGGUCAAGCUACAAAGGGCUCACGGAGGAUACCUAGGCACACAGA
rnacentral:misc_RNA from 1 species